rnacentral:rRNA from 1 species
UACAGAGGUCUCAAGCGUUGUUCGGAUUCAUUGGGCGUAAAGGGUGCGUAGGUGGCGCCGUAAGUCAGGUGUGAAAUUUCGGAGCUUAACUCCGAAACUGCAUUUGAUACUGCGGUGCUUGAGGACUGGAGAGGAGACUGGAAUUCACGGUGUAGCAGUGAAAUGCGUAGAGAUCGUGAGGAAGACCAGUGGCGAAGGCGGGUCUCGUGGACAGUUCCUGACACUGAGGCACGAAGGCCAGGGGAGCAAACGGG